rnacentral:rRNA from 1 species
GAUGAACGCUGGCGGCGUGCCUAAUACAUGCAAGUCGAGCGAACAGACGAGAGUGCUUGCACUCUCUGACGUUAGCGGCGGACGGGUGAGUAACACGUGGGUAACCUACCUAUAAGACUGGGAUAACUUCGGGAAACCGGAGCUAAUACCGGAUAAUAUUUAGCUUCGCAUGAAGCAAUAGUGAAAGACGGUUCUGCUGUCACUUAUAGAUGGACCCGCGGUGUAUUAGCUAGUUGGUGAGGUAACGGCUCACCAAGGCAACGAUACAUAGCCGACCUGAGAGGGUGAUCGGCCACACUGGGACUGAGACACGGCCCAGACCCCUACGGGAGGCAGCAGUAGGGAAUCUUCCGCAAUGGACGAAAGUCUGACGGAGCAAUGCCGCGUGAGUGAAGAAGGUUUUCGGAUCGUAAAACUCUGUUGUAAGGGAAGAACAAGUACGUUAGUAACUGAACGUACCUUGACGGUACCUUACCAGAAAGCCACGGCUAACUACGUG